GAUGAACGCUGGCGGCGUGCCUAAUACAUGCAAGUCGAGCGAACGGACGAGAAGCUUGCUUUUCUGAUGUUAGCGGCGGACGGGUGAGUAACACGUGGAUAACCUACCUAUAAGACUGGGAUAACUUCGGGAAACCGGCGCUUAUACCGGAUAAUAUUUUGAACCGCAUGGUCCAAAAGUGAAAGACGGUCUUGCUGGCACUUAUAGCUGGAUCCGCGCUGCAUUGGCUGGUUGGUAAGGUAACGGGUUACCAAGGCAACGAUGCAUAACCGACCGCAGAGGGUGAUCGCCCACCCGGGAGGGGGGACGGGCACCCGACUCCUGCGAGAGGCAGCAGUAGGGAAUCUUACGCAAUGGGCGAGAGCCUGACGGAGCAACGCCGCGUGAGUUAUGAAGGUGUUGGGAUCGGAAAGCUGUGUUAUGAGUGGAGAACAUAUGUGUGAGUAAAUGUGGAGAUCUUGACGGUACCUGAACAGAAAGCCCCGGCUAACUACGUG
rnacentral:rRNA from 1 species